GGUUGGACGGCUUAUGCCGUUUUCAAGAAUGAGCUUCUUGGGUGGGAAGUC
rnacentral:ncRNA from 12 species